GAAAGAUGAAAAGAACUUUGAAAAGAGAGUUAAACAGUACGUGAAAUUGUUGAAAGGGAAACGAUUGAAGUCAGUCAUACCAACGGGAAAUCAACCUCUUGAGCUCGGUCUCGUGGGUUUUGAAGAGUUUCAAAGCCUUCGGAUUCGCGAGAUUGGGAUCUCUUGGUGUACUUUUUCGUACGGUUAGUCAACAUCGGUUUUGAAUGUCAUAAAAUGACUGGAGGAAUGUAGCUUCGAUCUUGUAUUGAAGUGUUAUA
rnacentral:rRNA from 1 species